rnacentral:rRNA from 1 species
AAUAGCUCACUAGUCGAGUCGGCCCGCGCGGAAGAUGUAACGGGGCUCAAACUAGGAGCCGAAGCUGCGGAUUUGAACAUGUUUCAAGUGGUAGGGGAGCGUUGUGUAAGCCUGUGAAGGUGUGUCGUAAGGCAUGCUGGAGGUAUCACAAGAGCGAAUGCUGACGUGAGUAACGAUAAUGGGUGUGAAAAGCAUCCACGCCGGAAGAUCAAGGGUUCCAGUCCAACGUUAAUCGGGGCUGGGUGAGUCGACCCCUAAGGCGAGGCCGAAAGG